CACACUAUCAUUAACUGAAUCCAUAGGUUAAUGAGGCGAACCGGGGGAACUGAAACAUCUAAGUACCCCGAGGAAAAGAAAUCAACCGAGAUUCCCCCAGUAGCGGCGAGCGAACGGGGAGCAGCCCAGAGCCUGAAUCAGUGUGUGUGUUAGUGGAAGCGUCUGGAAAGGCGCGCGAUACAGGGUGACAGCCCCGUACACAAAAAUGCACAUGCUGUGAGCUCGAUGAGUAGGGCGGGACACGUGGUAUCCUGUCUGAAUAUGGGGGGACCAUCCUCCAAGGCUAAAUACUCCUGACUGACCGAUAGUGAACCAGUACCGUGAGGGAAAGGCGAAAAGAACCCCGGCGAGGGGAGUGAAAAAGAACCUGAAACCGUGUACGUACAAGCAGUGGGAGCACGCUUAGGCGUGUGACUGCGUACCUUUUGUAUAAUGGGUCAGCGACUUAUAUUCUGUAGCAAGGUUAACCGAAUAGGGGAGCCGAAGGGAAACCGAGUCUUAACUGGGCGUUAAGUUGCAGGGUAUAGACCCGAAACCCGGUGAUCUAGCCAUGGGCAGGUUGAAGGUUGGGUAACACUAACUGGAGGACCGAACCGACUAAUGUUGAAAAAUUAGCGGAUGACUUGUGGCUGGGGGUGAAAGGCCAAUCAAACCGGGAGAUAGCUGGUUCUCCCCGAAAGCUAUUUAGGUAGCGCCUCGUGAAUUCAUCUCCGGGGGUAGAGCACUGUUUCGGCAAGGGGGUCAUCCCGACUUACCAACCCGAUGCAAACUGCGAAUACCGGAGAAUGUUAUCACGGGAGACACACGGCGGGUGCUAACGUCCGUCGUGAAGAGGGAAACAACCCAGACCGCCAGCUAAGGUCCCAAAGUCAUGGUUAAGUGGGAAACGAUGUGGGAAGGCCCAGACAGCCAGGAUGUUGGCUUAGAAGCAGCCAUCAUUUAAAGAAAGCGUAAUAGCUCACUGGUCGAGUCGGCCUGCGCGGAAGAUGUAACGGGGCUAAACCAUGCACCGAAGCUGCGGCAGCGACGCUUAUGCGUUGUUGGGUAGGGGAGCGUUCUGUAAGCCUGUGAAGGUGUGCUGUGAGGCAUGCUGGAGGUAUCAGAAGUGCGAAUGCUGACAUAAGUAACGAUAAAGCGGGUGAAAAGCCCGCUCGCCGGAAGACCAAGGGUUCCUGUCCAACGUUAAUCGGGGCAGGGUGAGUCGACCCCUAAGGCGAGGCCGAAAGGCGUAGUCGAUGGGAAACAGGUUAAUAUUCCUGUACUUGGUGUUACUGCGAAGGGGGGACGGAGAAGGCUAUGUUGGCCGGGCGACGGUUGUCCCGGUUUAAGCGUGUAGGCUGGUUUUCCAGGCAAAUCCGGAAAAUCAAGGCUGAGGCGUGAUGACGAGGCACUACGGUGCUGAAGCAACAAAUGCCCUGCUUCCAGGAAAAGCCUCUAAGCAUCAGGUAACAUCAAAUCGUACCCCAAACCGACACAGGUGGUCAGGUAGAGAAUACCAAGGCGCUUGAGAGAACUCGGGUGAAGGAACUAGGCAAAAUGGUGCCGUAACUUCGGGAGAAGGCACGCUGAUAUGUAGGUGAAGUCCCUCGCGGAUGGAGCUGAAAUCAGUCGAAGAUACCAGCUGGCUGCAACUGUUUAUUAAAAACACAGCACUGUGCAAACACGAAAGUGGACGUAUACGGUGUGACGCCUGCCCGGUGCCGGAAGGUUAAUUGAUGGGGUCAGCGCAAGCGAAGCUCUUGAUCGAAGCCCCGGUAAACGGCGGCCGUAACUAUAACGGUCCUAAGGUAGCGAAAUUCCUUGUCGGGUAAGUUCCGACCUGCACGAAUGGCGUAAUGAUGGCCAGGCUGUCUCCACCCGAGACUCAGUGAAAUUGAACUCGCUGUGAAGAUGCAGUGUACCCGCGGCAAGACGGAAAGACCCCGUGAACCUUUACUAUAGCUUGACACUGAACAUUGAGCCUUGAUGUGUAGGAUAGGUGGGAGGCUUAGAAGUGUGGACGCCAGUCUGCAUGGAGCCGACCUUGAAAUACCACCCUUUAAUGUUUGAUGUUCUAACGUUGACCCGUAAUCCGGGUUGCGGACAGUGUCUGGUGGGUAGUUUGACUGGGGCGGUCUCCUCCUAAAGAGUAACGGAGGAGCACGAAGGUUGGCUAAUCCUGGUCGGACAUCAGGAGGUUAGUGCAAUGGCAUAAGCCAGCUUGACUGCGAGCGUGACGGCGCGAGCAGGUGCGAAAGCAGGUCAUAGUGAUCCGGUGGUUCUGAAUGGAAGGGCCAUCGCUCAACGGAUAAAAGGUACUCCGGGGAUAACAGGCUGAUACCGCCCAAGAGUUCAUAUCGACGGCGGUGUUUGGCACCUCGAUGUCGGCUCAUCACAUCCUGGGGCUGAAGUAGGUCCCAAGGGUAUGGCUGUUCGCCAUUUAAAGUGGUACGCGAGCUGGGUUUAGAACGUCGUGAGACAGUUCGGUCCCUAUCUGCCGUGGGCGCUGGAGAACUGAGGGGGGCUGCUCCUAGUACGAGAGGACCGGAGUGGACGCAUCACUGGUGUUCGGGUUGUCAUGCCAAUGGCACUGCCCGGUAGCUAAAUGCGGAAGAGAUAAGUGCUGAAAGCAUCUAAGCACGAAACUUGCCCCGAGAUGAGUUCUCCCUGAC
rnacentral:rRNA from 1 species